rnacentral:misc_RNA from 1 species
UGACUACAAUAAUGAAUUUAUGUAUUAAUUUUAUGUUUGCAGACAUGUUUACCGAAAAUUGUAACGGCUACUCUAGGGGCUAUUAUCGGAUUAUUUACAAAAUGUGCAGCAGGUCAUCGAAGAAGAAUUGUUAUGAACUGGUAGGGGAUUAUUUAGUGGUAUAUAUACUUAGUCUAAAUUAUUUUUAAAUCGUAAAGACGCGAUAAUUAAAUCUAUGAGAUAGGUGAGCUUUCAGUAUUAAGACGUGUUUGAGCAAUACAUUCCUGUUUUAAUGUGCCAAGUGCGGUAUUGACAACAUUUGUAUUACAAUUGACGA